rnacentral:ncRNA from 1 species
AAGGUUCCGGUUCACGCCUGAGCCACCGCCCUGGGCCAGAAACGUGGCGAGUGCGGUCAAGCGAUGACGGCGACCCGGCGACC